GGUUUUUUGUAUUGAUGAAAAAUCAGGUCUGCCCAAUGAGAAAUUGAAUGGCCGCAGUAUAUUGACUGUGCUAAGGUAGCAUAAUAAUUAGUUUUUUGAUUGAGGACUUGAAUGAAGGGCUUGACGAGGAAAAAGCUGUCUUUAUGGAUAAUAUUGAAUUUGGUUUUAGUGUGAAGAGACACUAAUAGGUUUGAGGGACGAGAAGACCCUAUUGAGUUUUAUAGGAGGUGAAGUUUUAUGUAUUAAAUUUGAGAUUAUGAAAUUUUAUGUCUUAUUUUGCUGGGGCGGCAAUGAAAGAUUUAAAUCUUUUGGUUGAUUGAUGAUGUUGUUACAAUAACUUAUUGAUCCAAUGUAUAUAUAUAUUGAAAGUGGGAUUUAAUUACCGUAGGGAUAACAGCGUAAUUUCAUCGAAGAGUUCUUAUUGAUGGUGGAAUUUGCGACCUCGAUGUUGAAUUAGAAUGUCUUUUAGGUGCAGAAGCUUAAUUGGAAAGUCUGUUCGACUUUUAAAUUUCUACA
rnacentral:rRNA from 1 species